AGUGAACGCUGGCGGUAGGCCUAACACAUGCAAGUCGAACGGCAGCACAGUAAGAGCUUGCUCUUACGGGUGGCGAGUGGCGGACGGGUGAGGAAUACAUCGGACUCUACUUUUUCGUGGGGGAUAAAGUAGGGAAACUUACGCUAAUACCGCAUACGACCUACGGGUGAAAGCAGGGGAUCUUCGGACCUUGCGCGAUUGAAUGAGCCGAUGUCGGAUUAGCUAGUUGGCGGGGUAAAGGCCCACCAAGGCGACGAUCCGUAGCUGGUCUGAGAGGAUGAUCAGCCACACUGGAACUGAGACACGGUCCAGACUCCUACGGGAGGCAGCAGUGGGGAAUAUUGGACAAUGGGCGCAAGCCUGAUCCAGCCAUACCGCGUGAGUGAAGAAGGCCUUCGGGUUGUAAAACCCUUUUGUUGGGAAAGAAAAGCAGCAGGUUAAUACCCCGCUGUUCUGACGGUACCCAAAGAAUAAGCACCGGCUAACUUCGCG
rnacentral:rRNA from 1 species